AAUUUCAGAUUAACCACAAGAACUUGAUGACACAUUUCUGCAACAUUUGAACAAAGAGAUUUGACAUUCCACGGCCAGAUUUUGCAAGGAAAUACCAAAGACAGCGAGAAACUUGACCAACUUGAACAGGAUGCUAUUCAAGAAAAACAAACUGAGAAGUUCUAACUGUGUAAGAAGCCUCUUGAAAGGAGGAAUGCCAGCACAGACAGGCAUCUGGAGACUCAGCAGAAAAAGGGUCUCUGAAUAUGCAGCCCACUUGAAAGGCUGAGUUGCCUACAUCUGCAGAAAGAACCAUGUGGUCACGAAAGAAAAGAUUUACAGUAAUAAAAACAGAAAAAAAAACUUACCUCAACCACUGGGCAUACUGAGAAUCUUCAUCCAAGUCAGGAAUUGAAUGACCCAUCUUCAGUUCUCCAAUCUCUAAGGCAAGUGUGUCAAUUAACU